AUUGAACGCUGGCGGCAGGCCUAACACAUGCAAGUCGAACGGUAACAGGAAGCAGCUUGCUGCUUCGCUGACGAGUGGCGGACGGGUGAGUAAUGUCUGGGAAACUGCCUGAUGGAGGGGGAUAACUACUGGAAACGGUAGCUAAUACCGCAUAACGUCGCAAGACCAAAGAGGGGGACCUUAGGGCCUCUUGCCAUCGGAUGUGCCCAGAUGGGAUUAGCUAGUAGGUGGGGUAACGGCUCACCUAGGCGACGAUCCCUAGCUGGUCUGAGAGGAUGACCAGCCGCACUGGAACUGAGACACGGUCCAGACUCCUACGGGAGGCAGCAGUGGGGAAUAUUGCACAAUGGGCGCAAGCCUGAUGCAGCCAUGCCGCGUGUAUGAAGAAGGCCUUCGGGUUGUAAAGUACUUUCAGCGGGGAGGAAGGGAGUAAAGUUAAUACCUUUGCUCAUUGACGUUACCCGCAGAAGAAGCACCGGCUAACUCCGUG
rnacentral:rRNA from 1 species